GUCGUCAUAACGAAAUGAAUAUAAAUCUUCGUAUUUGCUGUGGUCUCGUUAUUUACAUUACAGAAUCUUUAGAGUAUUUAGACUAAACAUUUACACGUCUAUAUAUGCUAUUUAUAUUAAGCAUUCAAAUUAAAACGGCGAAUAGGUAUAGCACCUAAUACUCAAUGUGUAUCAAUGGCGGUGGUAUAAAGGGUAUAUAUUCGCGAGCCGUGAAUUGCCAAUAUUUGUUCUCGUGAAAUAUGAAAUGACGGAUUUUUGUGUCGUGAAAUGUGACUUACAUGCCUAGCCGUGAUCCGUGAUUGAAGACUGGACGAGUAGUGAUCAAGUACGAACGUGAAGAAGAGCAAUGCUUUGUAUGCAAUAAUUUACUGCAUGCAUGUGUAUUUUCUUGAUUUUUGCUAGAUAUAUUGGUUGUUUUUAAGAAAGUCUUUCGGUAUCGAGCAUUCAGUGCCAAUGGUGAAAUUAGUUUCGAAAACGUAAAAUGAUAGGCUAAUGGAUUAAGAACGGUAUUAAAUACUCGAGAUAGGAAAUAAAAUUUGCACAGUUAAAAACGUGUUUCGGACAUUGUCGUUGUAUAAUGCUUUCCUUUUGUCGUUGUAAACGUGCCAGUGUAUGCUAGUCCGCGCUACGGUGUGUCUUUUAAGCCUGGUAAGGUUUCCACUGUAAACCAUGCACACAUAGUAACUCAUAAGUAUUCUCUAUAGUUAUAAUCACUCCGCCUAUUUAUACGACCAUAUGGAAACCGGCUUUAAUGAUGUACUUGCAUGCGUGCCGGUGUCACACGAGCCGGCAAUCUUUGUUGCAACUUGCAACGCAAUUUCGGAUACCGAGAGCCAUGAUAUGUUAUCGAAAAGCUAGUCGCAUAGAAAUUUUGAGCAUGACCCACAUUCUACUCUGCCGAUACUUUGUGAAAAAUAAAAAAAUGGGACGACAAAUUAAAUUUCGGCAGAAACGUCGAGGUUCAGCUCACACUUCUCAGGUAGUUGAUCUCUGUUUUCCUGUUUGUCGAUUGGACAAAACCGUAUCACGUGUCGUGCUCGGCUUCGCCUCGGGCAACAACGGGGUUUUGGGGCCACAAAACACUAUUUCCCUCGGUCUCAGUAAAUAAGUGUAUAUUGUUGAAACCGAGUGCAUUUGGAUAUUCUGGGCAAAAUUGGCUGGUACACGCCGUAAAUUUAGAAGCACUCCUAAAAUCUUAAAUCUCUGCUGAGACACUGCUUCUAC